rnacentral:lncRNA from 1 species
ACUGGAUAUGUUUUUAUUUUGUACUGUAUUGCAUUUUGGUAUUAGUAUUUUGCACAUUGUAUUUUUUUUUUCAUUAAAUCAUCAUUAAAUGAGUGGGGGCAGUUUUGGCUCCAUGGUAGUUUUGCUAAGCGCCAGAAAUGACAUCAUGGACACAGACUAAUUGGUCUAAUGAGGCCCUGGUUGCUGCCAAUGACCCCUUAUCAGCUCAGCUUUCAGUGCCACAGCAACAAGAGUGCAUCCACUUAGUUUGCUGGGCUGCCAAAGUGCUGAUUGCCAGGUUUAUAAGGUUUUUGUAGUAAAGACAGUAUUCCCACAGCCGUUUAUAAAUAUGAUUCAGAUAUUUUUCCUUUAAAGAAAAGAAAAAUGGGGAAGCACUCUACUCUACUCGUCACCGCCUCACUUCUGCUAAGGCCAUCCUGCAGGCCUCCCCUCAGCAGAGCAGGGACAAGGAGAUGGUGGACACCGGAUAUUCCAGCUUGCUAUCCAGUUGGCAAUAGUGGCCAACCACCUGCGGCUGCUGGGUGUGUCCUGAUCACAGCUGUAAAAACAGUUCAGCCAGCUCCCCCCCAAUCUAGAGGAUCUCAUUACCACCUUGUCUCCUACUGGGGAUGUUCUCAACCCACAAAUAAGGAGGACUGAGUCACAGCAGGAGGGGUUGACUCAUGUGUGGCUCCCCUCCCCUCUCCUUGACAUCAUGAGCCGAACAGUGGAGGAAAGUGGAACUGCUGACAGGGACUCAUGCUGCAGUUGUCAUGUUGUCUCGAUUCUUUAAACAUGUUGUGUAAAGCACUUUGAAAUGCCUUGAUGAAAUGCCCUACAUAAAUAAACGUGCCUUGCGAGAUUCUUGUAUGGUUCUGAUCAUUCUGGCUGCCAAAAUCAUAAUUGUAAGCGGAGAUGUCUGACUCUAGACAGUUUUUUCAGUACAAGGAAGUACUGUCAAACACAUGAUUGUUGAUAGGCAUGGUUUAUGUUGUUUCUGUGGCUUUGAGAGAGUAAAAAAGGUGUGUGCUCUACUAUUAUAGUAGUAUACCUCAGACAAAAUAUUUCAUGCUAAAGAACAUUAUGAGUUUAAGUCAAGCUACAGCUGUCCAAUUCAGCUCGAUGCACUCGGUCCAUCUAAUGCAAGGUUACUACAUUUGUGCACUCUUUCAGCUGGCUUAUGUGGAAUGCAAUGGAGUGAAAGCAGCUGUUGGAAACUACAGGGAGAGGGUGGUUGGGUUAACACUUGUGCUGCAGCAGCUUCUUUACACACAAAACCCACGAUAGCCCAUUUAUAUUGCGAGACACCACUUGCAAGAAUUCAAAUUGUGUAUUCUGACUUGCUAAGUGGCUGCCAUUUAUCAGGACAAGCUAGGACAACUGAAUGUUUUCCAGUGAGUGGUCCUGAUUUUAAAAUGCUGAAAAUGUCCAAAGAUAAGCUAUGUUGAUCUUAGACGGUAUAAACUAGAUGUGAUACAGUACACAUGUCAUUUUCCCUUCUUGUUUUGAGAACAGCAAUGUUGAUGUAGGCCCUUUGGUGACAUGGCAUCUAAUAUGAAAAUCUAAUUACAUACCGUCUAAGGUCAAAAUGUCCUAAUGUCACUGAGGACCACAGGAUGUGAUAUAAAAAGUUAAUAGUUUCAGUCAAUGCCAUUUUCAAACAUGUCUUUAUAACAGUAAUGAGGAAAUGUUUUAAAACUACGCAUGUUAAAUUAAUUGUACAUAAUGAAAAAAUAUGCAUGCUAUUUAAAUUAAAAAGAAUGAAAUGUGAAAAGUC